rnacentral:rRNA from 1 species
CCCUUAGAUGUUCUGGGCUGCACGCGCGCUACACUGAUGCAUUCAACGAGCUUAUAACCUUGGCCGAGAGGCCUGGGCAAUCUUGUUAACGUGCAUCGUGAUAGGGAUAGAUUAUUGAAAUUAUUAAUCUUGAACGAGGAAUUCCUAGUAAACGCAGAUCAUCAAUCUGCAUUGAUUACGUCCCUGCCCUUUGUACACACCGCCCGUCGCUCCUACCGAUUGAAUGCUCAGGUGAGCCAUUCGGACUUUCAUCAUGCUGGUUUCCAGUUUUGAUGAAGGAAAGUCUUGCGAACCUUAUCAUUUAGAGGAAGGAGAAGUCGUAACA